rnacentral:misc_RNA from 1 species
AUUAUACACUGAUCUGUAAUACAAAUAUUAAAAUGAACUGUAAUAUGUAAUCUUAUGAUGGACUGUAAUAUGUAUUGUUUACACUAGUGUGUUAAUUGUAAUUUAGAUGUUAACGAGUCUAAAGAUGCAGACAGGAAUACCAAGUGUCAAACUCACUCAGUUGUUGUGGUUUUAUAUACAAACAAUGCCAACCUUUUCUAACACCAGUAUUAUUGUUAGUUGAAUGAACUCUGACCUCGAAAUGCACACCAUGUACUUUUCUACUGAGCUUUUUUAAAAAAUUGAUAAAUUACCCGUUUUUCUAGAAGAAAAAGAUGUAGGAUUUUAACAGUUGAGUUUUGGAGACCAUUUUUCUCUGUGCUGACGUUUGGAGUCACGUUCAGAACGUUUGUGUUGUUUGAUAAUUCUGUGUAGGAGAUGUUUGUAGAGCUGGCUGGUGUUCAGAAUGUAUUGUUUUGUUAUAGCUGAGUGACCUAGGACCUGUACAUAGUCGCCUCAUAUGCAGUUAUUAUUAAAGAGUAUCAGAAAUAAAGAAUUAUAACAAG